UACGGGGGGAGCAAGCGUUGUUCGGAUUUACUGGGCGUAAAGAGCGCGCAGGCGGUCGAUCAAGUCGCGUGUGAAAGCCCCCGGCUCAACUGGGGAGGGUCACGCGAUACUGAUCGACUCGAAGGCAGGAGAGGGUAGUGGAAUUCCCGGUGUAGUGGUGAAAUGCGUAGAUAUCGGGAGGAACACCAGUGGCGAAGGCGACUACCUGGCCUGUUCUUGACGCUGAGGCGCGAAAGCUAGGGGAGCAAACGGG
rnacentral:rRNA from 1 species